rnacentral:sRNA from 1 species
CCAUAGCCCAGACAGCAGCGGCAUCCUUUGCUUGCUUUCUUUAAGCAAGGAAAGAUAUAGCGAAUGGCUGGAAUAGCU